rnacentral:rRNA from 1 species
AUUGAACGCUGGCGGCAGGCCUAACACAUGCAAGUCGAGCGGAGCGGCGGACGGGUGCGUAAUGCCUAGGUAUCUGCCUGGUAGUGGGGGAUAACGUUCGGUACUGGGCGCUAAUACCGCAUACUAUCAGAUGAGCCUAGGUGGGAUUAGCUAGUUGGUGGGGUAAAGGCCUACCCAGGCGACGAUCCGUAACUGGUCUGAGAGGAUGAUCAGGCACACUGGAACUGAGACACGGUCCAGACUCCUACGGGAGGCAGCAGUGGGGAAUAUUGGACAAUGGGCGAAAGCCUGAUCCAGCCAUGCCGCGUGUGUGAAGAAGGUCUUCGGAUUGUAAAGCACUUUAAGUUGGGAGGCGUUACCAACAGAAUAAGCACCGGCUAACUUCGUGCCAGCAGCCGCGGUAAUUC